GCAUUAAUGGGGUAGUGGUAACCUGGGUCGUUGCCAUGACUGUCACCGGAAGCUCGAUCUCGACCCGCCGGGGGUUCGAUUCCCUCUUAAUGCA